GGGGCUGUGGCUCAGUGGUAGAGCACCAGCUUUGCAUGUUUGAGGCACUGGGUUCGAUCCUCAGCACCA
rnacentral:tRNA from 1 species